GACGAACGCUGGCGGCGUGCUUAACACAUGCAAGUCGAACGGAAAGGCCCUGCUUGCAGGGUACUCGAGUGGCGAACGGGUGAGUAACACGUGGGUGAUCUGCCCUGCACUUCGGGAUAAGCCUGGGAAACUGGGUCUAAUACCGGAUAGGAGCCAUUUUUAGUGUGAUGGUUGGAAAGUUUUUUCGGUGUAGGAUGAGCUCGCGGCCUAUCAGCUUGUUGGUGGGGUAAUGGCCUACCAAGGCGGCGACGGGUAGCCGGCCUGAGAGGGUGGACGGCCACAUUGGGACUGAGGUACGGCCCAGACGCCGACGGUAGGCAGCAGUGGGGAAUAUUGCACAAUGGGCGCCAGCCUGAUGCAGCGACGCCGCGUGGGGGAUGACGGCCUUCGGGUUGUAAACUCCUUUCGCGAGGGACGAAGCUUUUUGUGACGGUACCUAGAUAAGAAGCACCGGCUAACUACGUG
rnacentral:rRNA from 1 species